rnacentral:rRNA from 1 species
UACGGAGGGGGCUAGCGUUGUUCGGAAUUACUGGGCGUAAAGCGCACGUAGGCGGCUUUGCAAGUUAGAGGUGAAAGCCCGGGGCUCAACCCCGGAAUUGCCUUUAAAACUGCAUCGCUAGAAUUGUGGAGAGGUAAGUGGAAUUCCGAGUGUAGAGGUGAAAUUCGUAGAUAUUCGGAAGAACACCAGUGGCGAAGGCGACUUACUGGACACAUAUUGACGCUGAGGUGCGAAAGCGCGGGGAGCAAACAGG